AACCACAGCCAUAUCAUUCUGCAGCUCAAGACCCAUUACUCCCGUUACUCACUGAAGCUAAGCAGGGCUGAGCCUGGUCAAUACCUGGAUGGGAGACCACAUGGGAAAAUUUAGGCUGCUGUUGGAA
ensembl:rRNA 5S_rRNA 5S ribosomal RNA